UUGUCUCCUGGAGUUCCUCUGAGCACUUCACACUUGGGGCUAUAGUUCUAUUCAUUGUUACCCUUUAGAUUGAAUAGUUCUUAUCAACUAAGUGAAGUGUUUGGGGGAACUUUUGGGUGCAA
rnacentral:pre_miRNA from 1 species